rfam:Tupaia chinensis contig199478, whole genome shotgun sequence.
UGCAGCUGUGUCAAAUUCAGUGCCUGCUCUACCUGUGGCAAGCACUGGCCCCAAAGGCUGCAACAGAAACACUGUGACCCAUGGGCCCUGCUCCUCCCUCCCAGGUUCAGGGAUAGAUCUGGUCACAGACACCA